rnacentral:rRNA from 1 species
GAUGAAUGCUAGCGGCGUGGAUAAGGCAUGCAAGUCGAGUGGGUUUAGACCCACGGCAAACGAGGUAGUAAUACGCAGGUACUCACCGAAAAGUCGAGCAUAUACCGUCGAAAGGCGGAGCAAUUCUCGAUAGUCCCUCCGGGGUAAAGGAGCAAUCCGCUUUUUGAGAGGCCUGUGGCGCAUCAGGUAGUUGGUAGGGUAAUGGCCUACCAAGCCUACGACGCGUAGGGGAGCUGAGAGGCUGACCCCCACCGAUGGAACUGAGACACGGUCCAUACACCUACGGGUGGCUGCAGUCGAGAAUAUUUGGCAAGUGGGCGCAAGCCUGACCAUGCGACGCCGCGUGGUUGAUG